UGCUGGUCAGUGGGUUGAGCAUGAGACUCUUAAUCUCAGGGUCGUGGUUCAAACCCCACGCUGGGCAA